rnacentral:rRNA from 1 species
GACAGAGGUUGCAAGCGUUGUUCGGAAUUACUGGGCGUAAAGGGCGUGUAGGCGGUGGAGUAUGUCUGACGUGAAAGCCCCCGGCUUAACUGGGGAAGUGCAUCAGAAACUGCUUCGCUGGAGUGCGAGAGAGGAUGGCGGAAUUCCCAGAGUAGAGGUGAAAUUCGUAGAUACUGGGAGGAACACCAGAGGCGAAGGCGGCCAUCUGGCUCGUAACUGACGCUGAGACGCGAAAGCGUGGGUAGCAAACAGG